rnacentral:rRNA from 1 species
AUUGAACGCUGGCGGCAUGCCUUACACAUGCAAGUCGAACGGCAGCACGGGCGCUUGCUCCUGGUGGCGAGUGGCGAACGGGUGAGUAAUACAUCGGAACGUACCCUGAAGUGGGGGAUAACGUAGCGAAAGUUACGCUAAUACCGCAUAUGCCCUAAGGGGGAAAGCGGGGGACUCGCAAGAACCUCGCGUUUUCGGAGCGGCCGAUAUCGGAUUAGCUAGUAGGUGAGGUAAAGGCUCACCUAGGCGACGAUCCGUAGCUGGUCUGAGAGGACGACCAGCCACACUGGAACUGAGACACGGUCCAGACUCCUACGGGAGGCAGCAGUGGGGGAAUUUUGGACAAUGGGCGCAAGCCUGAUCCAGCAAUGCCGCGUGAGUGAAGAAGGCCUCGGUGUAAGACGUCUUCUAGUUGUAAAGAAAAAGUAACGUAGACGUAAUAAUAC